rnacentral:rRNA from 1 species
GACGUAGGGCGCGAGCGUUGUCCGGAUUUAUUGGGCGUAAAGAGCUCGUGGGCGGCUUGUCGCGUCGUCUGUGAAAUCCCGCGGCUCAACCGCGGGUCUGCAGUCGAUACGGGCAGGCUAGAGUUCGGUAGGGGAGACUGGAAUUCCUGGUGUAGCGGUGAAAUGCGCAGAUAUCAGGAAGAACACCCGUGGCGAAGGCGGCUCUCUGGGACGGUACUGACGCUGAGACGCGAAAGCGUGGGGAGCGAACAGG